GCCGCCAGUCGGGGCCUCCCGGGGCGGGCGUGGGCGCGGCGGUGCCCCAGCGCCCAGGCUGCCGUCCGCGGGGCGGGGGCCCGGGAACCGCCUCCGUGGGCGCUCAGUCGUCGCCCGAGGGCUUCUCUGUCCUGGGCCACCAGUCCCGGCUCUUCCGCGGCCGAGUGCCCGAAGCCGCCGGUUCCUCCGCAGCCUGCUCAUCCCGAGCGCCAGCCCCCGGGACGCCACGAACCCGCCCCCGCGCCCCUCCCCCAUGAACGUCGGUCAAUGGUCCCUUAGCGCCCUGGCCCGGGCAGUGACGGGAGCCGUCAGACCUGGAGCCCAGCCGCGGCUUUGCGCCUCACCGUCUGGGAGGCCUCAGCUUUCUUGACUGCCCAGAAGUUCCAUCAUCUGUAAAACGGAGAGAAGCCGGAGGCUCAGGGUUGCGAGGAUUGGAGCGGACCCGGUGCCGAAGUCACCCAGCAGGGUCUGCGGCGCACCCAGGCUCUAGAUGGGGGCCCUCAGGAGGGGGCACACGGGGUACCGAAGACUGCGGGGGUAGGUUAGCAGCAGAGGGGUGCGCGGCCGGCCGGGGCCCGGAGCGCUGAGCGACGCCUCCGAGAACUGGCUUCCCGGUCGCCGCCUGCAGGAGACGGAAGGGCCGGGGUGUGGGUCUCCCGUACUGGGGCCAUUUAGUCCCUGUACGACCCGCAGGCAGUCGCUGCCCCUCUCUGCACCUCAGUGCCUCGUGCCAAGGGGAAGGGGACCACGUUCGUUCAGCGCCGCUGGAACGAGAUAAAGCCCGCAGCGUGCUUCGGGCGCUUCCUGGCACCCCCGGCAGUAUCUUACAGAGAAAUGAAGUAAAGAAGAAAUAACGAAGUCGGAGGAAACAUCAACAGCUCCAGAUCAGGACAGAUGAGAAGCAGACUGCAGCAUGUCUGACAUGAAGGAAUAAAACUCGGAGAUUUCUGAAUUCUAGCCUCUCAAUUUCCCUAAACUCCAAGCUUGAUCCUCCUGGGAAAAUCCUUCCGAUUUAUCUCUUCUGGGCCUCACUUUCAAUAUCUUUGAAAAUAAAAGCUGUUCGUACCUUUCA